GAUGAACGCUGGCGGCGUGCCUAAUACAUGCAAGUCGAACGAAACUUCUUUAUCACCGAGUGCUUGCACUCACCGAUAAAGAGUUGAGUGGCGAACGGGUGAGUAACACGUGGGCAACCUGCCCAAAAGAGGGGGAUAACACUUGGAAACAGGUGCUAAUACCGCAUAACCAUAGUUACCGCAUGGUAACUAUGUAAAAGGUGGCUAUACUACCGCUUUUGGAUGGGCCCGCGGCGCAUUAGCUAGUUGGUAGGGUAAAGGCUUACCAAGGCAAUGAUGCGUAGCCGAAUUGAGAGGUUGAUCGGCCACAUUGGGACUGAGACACGGCCCAAACUCCUACGGGAGGCAGCAGUAGGGAAUCUUCCACAAUGGGCGAAAGCCUGAUGGAGCAACGCCGCGUGGGUGAAGAAGGUCUUCGGAUCGUAAAACCCUGUUGUUAGAGAAGAAAGUGCGUGAGAGUAACUGUUCACGCUUCGACGGUAUCUAACCAGAAAGCCACUGCUAACUACGUG
rnacentral:rRNA from 1 species